UACGUAGGGUGCGAGCGUUGUCCGGAAUUAUUGGGCGUAAAGGGCUCGUAGGCGGUCUGUCGCGUCGAAAGUGAAAACCCAGGGCUUAACCCUGGGCCUGCUUCCGAUACGGGCAGACUAGAGGUAUGCAGGGGAGAACGGAAUUCCUGGUGUAGCGGUGAAGUGCGCAGAUAUCAGGAGGAACACCGGUGGCGAAGGCGGUUCUCUGGGCAUUACCUGACGCUGAGGAGCGAAAGUGUGGGGAGCGAACAGG
rnacentral:rRNA from 1 species